CUGCUGCUUGUGGUCCUUUGAAGGGACCAGCCACGUUCAAAGUACUUGCAGGCCGGGCAGGAGGGUUUCUUUUAUAUUGUUAAACAACUAUGUGGGGAUGGUGGUAUUUGAAGAGAUUGAAUUCCCAAAUGACCUGUGUUGGUCGUGCAAAAACCUUAUUCUAAUCAUCUGCUUUUGUCCAUCCUCAAAUAUUGGUUUUACUGGAGAAAUCCGGCUGCUUUCUCUUUUAGGGUAUGAGAUUAUUACAAAAGCAUUGUAAUACAUAGAGAAUUCCCAGGGCAUUUGUGGAAAAGAUUUGCUCCCAUUGAAUGUUGGACAUCAGAGAUACCUGAGUCUUCCCCAGCAAAGGCAACGGUCCCACCAUGACUCAAUAAGCAACUCCACAGCUGCUCCUGCCAAUCACUGUAUUUCGCCAUCAUUCUUCUGGCCCCAUGAGAGAGGUCCACGUGAGCUGAACUGGGCUGUGGCAGUGAUUUCCAAAUCCUGUACUUCAAGAAGGGAAAUCAGGGUCAUGCCAAGUGCCCUUGGUGUCCAUAUUGAGGAGAGCCUGCAUGAAUGUCACCAUCUUGCCAAAAAGAUCCUGGGCCAGAGCUAGCUAAGGAGAGCCUUGCAGAGGCAGGCAAGAACCCUCAGCUACUCUCUCUCUUCACUCAGCCAGGGGUCUGUGUUGAACUUAUGUAAGGAAAUGGAGUUGUAGCUUAAAGAUUUGCUUAUGUUACCUCUUUUGAUUAAUUAGUUAAUUAUACUAUAUAUUAACUGAUUGUCUUUAAUGUGACAAACAGUGUUAUGGGCUCUGAAUUGAAAUAAUGAAUAAUGCCCUAGAGAGUCUCAUAUUCUAACAUGUGUAAGAGAGUAGAUAAUUACAACCCAACAUGAUAAUUUAUAUUAUCAAAGUGAACACAGUAUACAAUGGAAGUGCAUAGCACAUAGCACAUAGCAGGCAAGGCUUCUCAAAGGAGACAGUUUCUCCUUGACAUGGUUUGGCUCUGUGUUCCCACCCAAAUCUCAUCUUGAAUUGUACUACCAUAAUUCCCACAUGUUGUGGGGGGGACCUGGUGGGAAAUAAUGUGAGUCAUGGGGGUAGUUCCCCCAUAUUGUUCUCAUGGUAGUGAAUAAGUCUCACUGUAUCUGAUGGUUUUGUCAGGGGUUUCUGCUUUUGCAUCUUCCUCAUUUUCUCUUGCCGCUGCCACAUAAGAAGUACCUUUUGCCUCCCACCAUGAUUCUGAGGCCUUCCUAGCCAUAUGGAACUGUAAGUCCAAUUAAACCUCUUUUUAUUCCCAGUCUCGGGUAUGUCUUUAUCAGCAGUGUGAAAACAGACUAAUACACUCCUAAAAGACAAAUUAAUGUUAGCCUCAUGCAGAGGGGCAAGGGAAGCCAGUGAGGCAAAGUCAUAGAGCCUAACACAUAGUAAACACUCAGUCAAUGCUUACUGGAUGACCUAUUUUUUCACAACACAAUGCCACCUCCCACGAAUACUAUAGUAUCUAAUAGAGUACUCAGAACAAUUACUAUGUAGGUGAGCUGACAGGUGUAACCUUACAAAAUGGUUAUGGAGAAAAACCCAUCCUUGCUACUCAAGGUGAGGCUCACAGACCAUCAGCAAUGGAAUCACCUGGAGGCUUGUGAGAAGCACAGAAUCUCAGCCCCCAACCCAGACUUACUAAAUCAACAUCUUCAUUUUAACGAGAUCCCCAGGUGAUUUCUAUACACACUAGUGUUUGAGACUGGGCUGUACUAAAAGCUCAUAAACCAUUAAUGGCCUUCUAUUAUAAGAUGGUGGUUAAUAACUUCUGGCGAAUAUCAGGCUUUCUUAGGGAGGACUUUCAAAGUACAGAACCCUGCUUUUAUUCCCCUGCCUUCCAUGGAAGCCAGUUCUUAGAAGCGGGAACCUGGGUAUCUGCACUUUUAAUGAGCUUCCCCGGGUGAUUCUGAGUUCCAUUAUUUGACAGAACAUGGUGUUAUUUUCUAUAAAAUACUUUAGGAAAAUAUUUUGGGGGGCAAUCAAUUAUGUUUAUGUGUGUGUGUAUGUGUGUGUGAAACAGGCAGAUCUUUAUUGAGUGCCUGAGUGACUUUCCUACAAGGAACCAUAUUAUUAACUCUAUUGAGCUUCAAAUAAUCAUAUUUUUCAAGGAGACUAGAAGAUAAGUCUAUGAUCAUUAUUUUAAGAUUUUUUGGCAUGUUCUUUUAUUUAAACUAUAUGCUUCUUAUUGUUUUGAAAGCAAAGGUGUUCCAAAGCCAAGACUCUCUGGGUUAGAAGUGCAAACUUAAUGUAAGCUGGUGUGCUGCUGAAAACUGACUACCUAUGUGUAAAAACUAUAGCCCAAUUUUAUCCCUAGGCAGAUCAUGCUUGCCAAUAAUUAGCUCUUCAAAAAUAUUUUGUAUCAAUUGCAAGCAUACAAAAAUCUUUACGAAGCAUUUGAUAAUAUUUGUGCUAGAUGUACAAUGGAAUGUAACAACACAUUGAAAUUCUGGUUUAUCUUAACUAUAAUUUUUAUUAAUUCUCUACCUGAUCACAAAAUUUAACAUGCUGAAGACAAGAGGUUUUCAUUUGUUCCUGAUUUUCAUUUGAAACCAAAUAUGAUGAAAUUUCCAUUUCCUCUCUAUUAUUACAUAAACCUGAAGCAAAGAGAUGAAAUUACUAAGUGCUUGCUUUAUAGAAAAAACGAUCUCCACAUUAAUUAAAUUAGUUGUAAAUAAUAUGGCAUCUUCUAAUAUUUGAAGGAAAUGGAGCAAUUAAAUGGCACAUAAAUAUAUUAAAAUGUUUAGUAAGAGUUAAAGUUCAGCAAAAAAAAAAUUUUACUUAACCCAAGCAACUACACAGUAUCAUAUAUAAAUUAUGCUUUUAAAGGAAAUAAAUGUUAAUUUCUUGAGAUGAACUUUUAUAAUCUUAAAAAUUGUUUGUAAAACAAAAUGUAAGUAAUGUUGAGUCUCCUCAUCUUGCUACAAAACCAUUUGGAUUUCAAUGAAAACAUCAAACACCUACUCUUUCUUUUCAAAUAAAUGUUCUGGCAUUCAUCUUUUAUAAUAACAUAUCAUAAUUUCUGUUACUAUUUAAUCUCACUUAUAUUUGCUAAGACAUUUCAUUCAAAGCUUGCUUUGCCAAGGAAAAAAAAAAAAAAGCCUGUGCAAUUUAAACCAGUGUGCUCGCAAAUGUCCACUGCUCAUUUCACCUCAGUUUUGAAGGUAUUCAUUCAUUCACUUAGUACUGAGUACCUCCAGCAGCAGGCAGUGUUCUAGGCUUGCUUUUCCCAGGAUAGACCCAGGAAGAACUGGCAAUUGGACUCCCAUCUUAAAAGACUGGAUAUAUGACAUGUCUUGAUAAUCACAGAUAAUCACCAGUACCCACAGUGAGAAGGGCACUAAACUCAUCAGGAUUGACUUAAUCCAACAAGUAAGUAUUAAGCACCUAAUAUGUGCAAGUUACUGUACUAUGAAAUCUAUGAAAUCUAUGAAGAUGAAUAUGGCCGAGUUCCUGAACAAAGCCUCUCAGAAAUGGAAAGCUGUUGCACUCUCUGCUGCAAAAUUUAGUCUCCCAUUUGUGUUUCAUUUAUUUGUCUGUAUUCCCUUCCUCCUCUGGAAAAUAAUAAUGUAUCUUAUAAUAAUGUACCUUACAAAUUCUUCAUGAGUCUACAUGUGUGAUCCAUUCUCAUAUAUUCCUCUAUUAACACAUAUACACUUGACAUGUUCAUAUUCCU
rnacentral:lncRNA from 10 species